rnacentral:rRNA from 1 species
GACGAACGCAGGCGGCGUGCCUAAUACAUGCAAGUAGAACGCUGAAGAGAGGAGCUUGCUCUUCUUGGAUGAGUUGCGAACGGGUGAGUAACGCGUAGGUAACCUGCCUGGUAGCGGGGGAUAACUAUUGGAAACGAUAGCUAAUACCGCAUAAAAUGGAUUAUCGCAUGAUAAUCCAUUGAAAGGUGCAAAUGCAUCACUACCAGAUGGACCUGCGUUGUAUUAGCUAGUUGGUGGGGUAACGGCUCACCAAGGCGACGAUACAUAGCCGACCUGAGAGGGUGAUCGGCCACACUGGGACUGAGACACGGCCCAGACUCCUACGGGAGGCAGCAGUAGGGAAUCUUCGGCAAUGGACGGAAGUCUGACCGAGCAACGCCGCGUGAGUGAAGAAGGUUUUCGGAUCGUAAAGCUCUGUUGUAAGAGAAGAACGAGUGUGAGAGUGGAAAGUUCACACUGUGACGGUAUCUUACCAGAAAGGGACGGCUAACUACGUGCCAGCAGCCGCGGUAAUACGUAGGUGGCAAGCGUUGUCCGGAAUUAUUGGGCGUAAAGCGCGCGCAGGCGGCUACUUAAGUCCAUCUUAAAAGUGCGGGGCUUAACCCCGUGAUGGGAUGGAAACUGAGAAGCUGGAGUGUCGGAGAGGAAAGUGGAAUUCCUAGUGUAGCGGUGAAAUGCGUAGAGAUUAGGAAGAACACCGGUGGCGAAGGCGACUUUCUGGACGACAACUGACGCUUAGGCGCGAAAGCGUGGGGAGCAAACAGG